UAAGCAUAUCAAUAAGCGGAGGAAAAGAAACCAACAGGGAUUGCCUUAGUAACGGCGAGUGAAGCGGCAAAAGCUCAAAUUUGAAAUCUGGCGUCUUUGGCGUCCGAGUUGUAAUUUGAAGAAGGUAUCUUUGAGGUUGGCCCUUGCAUAAGUUCCUUGGAACAGGACGUCAUAGAGGGUGAGAAUCCCGUUUAUGGUGAGGUGCCCAACUUCUUGUAAAGUGCUUUCGAAGAGUCGAGUUGUUUGGGAAUGCAGCUCUAAGUGGGUGGUAAAUUCCAUCUAAAGCUAAAUAUUGGCGAGAGACCGAUAGCGAACAAGUACAGUGAUGGAAAGAUGAAAAGAACUUUGAAAAGAGAGUGAAAAAGUACGUGAAAUUGUUGAAAGGGAAGGGCAUGAGAUCAGACUUGGUAUUCAGUGAUCAACUUUCUUUCGGGAUUGUGCACUCGCUGUUUACUGGGCCAAUAUCAGUUUUGGCGGUAGGAUAAUGGCAUUGGAAUGUGGCUCCUCGGAGUGUUAUAGCCUUUGUUGAUACUACCUGCUGGGACUGAGGACAGCGCUUUUGCUAGGAUAUUGGCGUAAUGAUCUUAUGCCACCCG
rnacentral:rRNA from 1 species